UUCGGAUUCAGCAACGUUCCUAAAAAGAUCCUAAUGCCAUUUUGAUGAUCAUUCAUCAUAACUGCCUAAACAACUACUAGAGAUCCAUUUGUUUUCAAGCAGAGAGAAAUUCUUUGUUGAUAGUAUUUUAUGGAAAGCAAUACCAGUUGCAGUGUUUUGUAUGACAUCUCCUAAUAUCUACAGCUUAGUAGGAUCAACAGUAAGAGGAAUGGUGAACAAACAAGCCAGUGCGGAACUCCCUUUCAUCUAAUUUUUGUGAAAAGUGGUUUAAGCGCAACGAAGAUCAUUUGGUGUCAAAUAAAGGACAUGAAAUUUACCAAUCUGUAUACAGAGUCAAUCAUAAAUCUAAAGAAACAGCUCUCCUAAAGGUGCAUCUUGACGUCGUUCAUUGAUUCCAACUUGUAUGCAGUGCAGUACUCUUGAUGUUUGAAUUCCAGCAGACAUUGACUUGAUCGACCAUUCUAUCCUCAUUGAUUGCCUUGAAUAUUUUUACGGCAUCCCUGGCGACGCUUUUUGGGGGAUAAAAAUCUUACCUUAACAACAGAUAUCAAAUACAUGUGGCUGCAGUUAUCUCAGCUGUGUCAUCUGAUUACCGGUAUGAGCUAAUAUUUGAUGUUCCAUAAGGAUCUAUCUUAGCUCCUAUAUUCUACCAUAUUCUCGAAAACUAUAAGCAAUGGCACCCUAUCAAGACUUCAGAGAAUAUAGAAUACUGCGGCUAGCGUAAUAAUGAGGACUAUGAAGCAGGAUCAUAAUACUUCAACCCUGAUUUCUCUGCACUGAUUGCCAGUGGAGUUCCAGUCCCAGUAUAACAUUAUUAUAACUGUAUUCAAAGCCCCUAUGGAUGUCUCCUUUUUAUAUUCUAGGCCUUGUCAAUUUUUAUAUCCCAGGGAGAUCAUUACAAUCUGAGAAUUCCAUGUUUAAAAGUUAUCUAAAGACUCACUGUUUUAGGAUGGCCUUUUACUGUUAACAAAAUUAAGGGGUUUUUUUUUUCUUCUGAGCUGUAUAAAUUUAUUCGACUCCAUUGUUUUAAUUUUUGUUAAGCCAGUAGAAGCCUUUAAGUAUUCAGAACUUUUACUAUUA